GAUGAACGCUGGCGGCGUGCCUAAUACAUGCAAGUCGAGCGAACACACGAGGAUCUUGCUCCUCUGCCGUUAGCUGCGGCCGGGGGAGUAACACGUGGAUAACCUAUCUAUCAGACUGAGUUAACUUCGUGACACCGACGCUCUUUCCGGAUAAUAUAUUCAACCGCAUGGUUCACUAGUGACAGACUGUUUUGCUGUCACUGAUAGAUGUCUCCGCGCCGCAUUAGCUAGUUGGUAAGGUAACGGCAUACCACGGCAGCGAUGCGUAGCCCCCCUGAGAGGGUGGUCGGCCACCCUGGCACUGAGGAACGGCACAGACUCCUAGGGGGGGAAACAGUAGGGAAUCUUACGCAAGGGGGGAAUGGCGGAUGGUGCAACGCCGGGUGAAGGAUGAUGGUCUCCGGAUGGUAGAGCGAUGUUAUUAGUGAAGAACAAAUGUGUAAGUAACUAUGAAGGUCUUGACGGUACCUAAGCAGAAAGCCACGGCUAACUACGUG
rnacentral:rRNA from 1 species